rnacentral:rRNA from 1 species
GCGAACGCUGGCGGCAGGCCUAACACAUGCAAGUCGAACGAACUCUUCGGAGUUAGUGGCGGACGGGUGAGUAACACGUGGGAACGUGCCUUUUGGUUCGGAAUAACUCAGGGAAACUUGUGCUAAUACCGAAUGUGCCCUUCGGGGGAAAGAUUUAUCGCCAUUAGAGCGGCCCGCGUCUGAUUAGCUAGUUGGUGAGGUAACGGCUCACCAAGGCGACGAUCAGUAGCUGGUCUGAGAGGAUGACCAGCCACACUGGGACUGAGACACGGCCCAGACUCCUACGGGAGGCAGCAGUGGGGAAUCUUGCGCAAUGGGCGAAAGCCUGACGCAGCCAUGCCGCGUGAAUGAUGAAGGUCUUAGGAUUGUAAAAUUCUUUCACCGGAGACGAUAAUGACGGUACCCGGAGAAGAAGCCCCGGCUAACUUCGUG